GAGCCCCGGGGCCGGGGGACGCGCAGUGCGCAGGCCUGGCCCACGAAGCGCACCCGGCUCCCGGCGCGCCGCCCGCGGGCUGGCAGGGGACCUUUGUGAGGAAGAGAGACCAGCGAAGAAUCGGUGAAUCCGCCACCAAAACGGUGUUUGUCAACGGUGUGCACUCGCUUCCCUGCCCUUCCUGGCCUCCUGUAGUGGGAGAGAUGGCGAGUGGGCCGAGAGGGUCAUUAGCUCUUACAUAAGAAUGUCAUAGCAGUGGAUUCUGUCAUCCUGCCAAACGCAGACCUCACUGCCAGGGCGGGGGAUCUAGGAGAAUAGGAUUUAUUCUGUGCGGUUCAACAAGUGCUUGUGAGGGCCCUUAGUGUGCGCCAGGCGUUUGGAAACACGCACAAGUAUGAAUCCUGGAGUUUAGAGCCGGAGGUUGGUUGUUUGUUUUUUUCCACCCGAUGUUGCUUAAAUGGAGAAAUCCGUUCAUUCAUGAAAACAUUUAUUGGAAUUUCAGUUGUGGGCCUACUGUGUGCAGGGUGCUGAGGAGAGCACACAUGAGAAUAGUGUUCCGAAUCCUGUACUCCAGAAUCAGCCAACGUCAGAGACAUGGCGUGCCAGAGAUGCAUUUUAUAGCAGGCAGCGUGUGGCAGCUGGUAGGAGUAUGAGGAGUUUUGUCACAGUGACACAAAGCUGGCUUAGGCUCCCUCAAAGUGCAGCAAUUGGGUUCCGAGGUAGCCUGCAACAAGUUGUUUAAUCAUCGUAAUCUGCAAUUCCUUCAUGAGUAACAGCUGGAGAAUCGGAACUCCCGUAUGACAUGGAAUACACUUUUUUGAAUACCUGCUUGACACAUAAUGUUCCACUUCUAAGAAGUGCUAUUCCUCCCUGCCCUACCCUCCACUCCUCAGGGUUACUCCCACCACCUUUCUGUACUGUGUAGCCCUGUUGCCUGGUACAAUUAUUCCUGCUGCAAACUCAGGGGAUCAGAUUCCUCCCUCUGGAUACCUGGGUGAGGCGGGUGGUGACUGAAGAUGUGGCCCUCAAAAUCACAAUCUAGUUGGAAUUUUGAAGCUUCUGUUUCUGAGCAAGAAAAAUCUGUGUUGACUCUUCUGAGCCUCAUUUCCUUAUUUAAAAAAAAAAAAAAGAGUGAGGCCAUGAAAAUAGUAAGAGUACCUACUUGAUGGAGCUGUUAAAAGGAUACAGAUGGUGACCAGGAGAUGAUACCCCCUGAAGUCAUCUUGAGAGCUGUAUUUUGUCAUAGUCACAGGGGAGCCGCAGAAAGCUUCUCUUAAAGAAAAGGAUCGUGAAGGUGUCUGGAGAGACACUUAGGAAAAAGUCAACUGGGUUUCUAAAAAACCUUGUAGGUUCCAUUUCUAGACUGAGUUAAGCUUCACUGGAAGCCUGCCCCACAAUCCUUUACAGUGAGGACAGAAUUAACCAGAAAAAGGAAGCUAAGACUGAGAAGACAAGAAGAUGCUCAGUGAAUAGUACUUGUAUUGUUUUUGUCAGCAUGGAGAUUAUUUAGCUCAGUGGUUGGGGGAUUUUAGCUCAGUGGUUUUGGUGUCUGCCUCGAAAGCGCAAGGACCUGAGUUCGAUCUCCGGUACAAAAAAAAAACAAAACCAUUUCUGAGAUUAUUGAUAAAUUGCACAAAAUAUUGCUGACAUCACCAUUUCUCCAUAGUCCCUUGUAGCAGAGGGAUAGUUAGAGUUGGGCACAUGCAUGAUAAACAGGAUGGAAAAGCAAAAGGCAGCAACAUGUAGGAGUGAACGCAUAGACUUUGGGGUCAUGAAGUUUGGAUUCAGGUUCCAUCUCUGCCACUUGCAAACUGUGUGACCUUGUUCAAGUCUACCUCCAUUUUCUGAGCUCUAAGACAGUGAUAACUGUGGGGCUUAUCUUACUGUGACGCACACAUUUAGACCGGUGUCUGGCACAUGGUAAGGGUUAAGUAAGCAUCCUGUGGUGUCAUCAUCAUCAUCAUCAUCAUCAUCAUCAUCAUCAUCAUCAUCACUGUUAUUUACAGAUCCGGGACUACCUUCAAUGAGCUUAGGUCACUCACAGGCUGUAUUUCUUAAGUGCCCAAGGUAUGUUGCCAUAUGAAAUGAAGAGCAGUCCUUAACCACCCCGUGAGGGUAAUCCUCCCUCACCAGAUCCUGAGCAGAUUACCCUCUGGAGGCCACAGAUGAACCUCUUAGCCUGCUACAGAUGCCUCCUUAGGGCACUUUGCUAGGAAAGGAUGGGGUAGGAUAUCAGGGUCUUCCCAGGGCCCUUCCCUAGAAAGAAAGAAAGUGUUGGGAAUCCUAACCUCACAAAUUUGGUAAGCAGAACUUCAAGUAGUUAUCCAUCUCAGAAAGAAUCUUUGACUAUAGACAAAGAAUUUUAACCGGAUGAACUUCUUAUAAAGAAUCUGGAACUUUCUAUUUCACUCA